rnacentral:tRNA from 1 species
AUUUGAAUAGUUUAAUUAGAAUAAUAAUUUGUGGAAUUAUUGGUGUAUUUUCUUCAAAUU